GUAGCAAGUGCGAAAUUAAUGCAACACGCAACACGUGAGUCAUCGAGUCUUUGAACGCAUAUUGCACCCGACAGGCUCGCUUGUCGGGUCUGCCUGUUUGAGUAUCAGAUCGGACCCAGCAGCCGACGACGGGGGCGUGGAACAGGGUUUUGCGACUCUGCUUUGCGCAUCCGCGUCGACUAGCCGGUGCUCGCUGCGCAGCAAUGUGCGGCGGAAAUGGGGUUUUGGGGGCGCGCUCGCGCAACCCCAUUCCCUGAAAUGUAUUGGCCGACCGGCGCAUCCUCGAUGUCGCUGCGCUUGGACUGCGGGCCGUUUAGCAAUGUUAAUCAUCCGCAAGGGUGUCUUUGUUAAGUUGCCGGGUUAUCUAACGAGCGUGGCGCGAUGUCCAAACCGACCACCCUUGCACAUGCACGAAAGUGUGUGCGCAAACCGCAGCGCGGGCAACCGCGUUUGCACCCACCAACUUGAUCUCAAAUCAGGCAGGAUGACCCGCUGAAUUUAAGCAUAUCAGUAAGCGGAGGAAAAGAAACUAACCAGGAUUCCCUUUAGUAACGGCGAGUGAAGCGGGAAAAGCCCAAUCUGAGAAGCUGGUCGGCCCCUGCGCCGGUCCCGCGUUGUAGAUUGAUGGGGCGUUGCCUAGCGGCAGACCUUUCGGCCAAAGUCUCUUGGAACAGAGCGUCAUAGAGGGUGACAACCCCGUGUGUGGCCGGACGACAUUACAGUCUGUUGCGUCGAUGGCGCGUUUCCUUAGAGUCGGAAUGUUUGGGAUUGCAUUCCAAAGCGGGUGGUAAACUCCAUCUAAGGCUAAAUACUGGCGAGAGACCGAUAGCGAACAAGUACCGUGAGGGAAAGUUGAAAAGCACUCUGGAGAGAGAGUCAAACAGUACGUGAAAUUGCUAGCAGGGAAACGUUGGGCACCAGUACGCGGCAAUCAAUGUCGAUGAUCAGUCGGCCGGCGCGGCGGCUAUUGCGCGGAGCUUCCGCUUCAGAGACAGCCCCAGGGCUGCUCACGCGCAGUAGCCGGCCGUGCGGGCCGGUGCACUCUUCGACAGCCGGGUCAACAUCGGUUGCUGGCGUCCGAUAAGCAGCACGGCAAGGUAGCAGGGUGGCGAUCUUUACGGCCGUCACUCUGAACUUAUAGGCCGGGCAGAGCGAGGACGGCGGCGACCGAGGAGGCAUUGCGGCUCGCGCGCCUUUCGGGGUGCAGGGCGUGCUGGCAGGGUUGUGGUUGCCCGUGGCGCUGGACAGCUUGCUGACCAGGGUUUACUUUGGUGCGCUUCGGCGCAUCAGCGGCGGCCGCCUUGUCGGUACAAGCCACUAGCGAGUCCAUGACGGUGACGA
rnacentral:rRNA from 1 species